GGUGCUAUAGUGUAGUGGUUAUCACUCGGGAUUUUGAAAGGAAGUUCCCGAAACCCAGGUUCGAACCCUGGUAGCACCU